rnacentral:rRNA from 1 species
ACACAUGCAAGUCGAACGGUAGAGGGGGCAACCCCUCGAGAGUGGCGAACGGGUGAGUAAUAUAUCGGAACGUGCCCAGUCGUGGGGGAUAACGUAGCGAAAGUUACGCUAAUACCGCAUACGAUCUACGGAUGAAAGCGGGGGAUCGCAAGACCUCGCGCGAUUGGAGCGGCCGAUAUCAGAUUAGGUAGUUGGUGGGGUAAAGGCUCACCAAGCCAACGAUCUGUAGCUGGUCUGAGAGGACGACCAGCCACACUGGAACUGAGACACGGUCCAGACUCCUACGGGAGGCAGCAGUGGGGAAUUUUGGACAAUGGACGCAAGUCUGAUCCAGCCAUUCCGCGUGCAGGAUGAAGGCCCUCGGGUUGUAAACUGCUUUUGUACGGAACGAAAAGGUUUCUAUUAAUACUAGGAGCUCAUGACGGUACCGUAAGAAUAAGCACCGGCUAACUACGUGCCAGCAGCCGCGGUAAUACGUAGGGUGCAAGCGUUAAUCGGAAUUACUGGGCGUAAAGCGUGCGCAAGCGGUUAUGUAAGACAGAGGUGAAAUCCCCGGGCUCAACCUGGGAACUGCCUUUGUGACUGCAUAGCUAGAGUACGGUAGAGGGGGAUGGAAUUCCGCGUGUAAGCAGUGAAAUGCGUAAGAUAUGC